GCAAGGAGGAGAAGACACGCUGCUGGAGGACUGAGGAGUACAAGUGUGAUCAGGCUUCAGGGGGCUGAUCCUGCGAUGUUCCCUACUGGCUGCCUCUCAGAUGUGCAACUUGCAGGACGCUACCUCAUAAAAUCAUAACAAAUGAGAAGAAAUGAUCUGCAGUCUAUAUUUCCAUGUGCAAUUGAAGAAUGAAGAUGUUACCUCACUUACUCAGAGUUAGAAAUCAUUUACAUAGGAGAGACUCAUGAGGCUGAUAGAGUUGUUUGCACUAGAGGAAUGAACCCUGCAGCAUUUUAAGUGUCCUACAAGAAUCACUUUGCCCCUCACCUUGGGUCUCUCUCUAUCAAACAUCGUGUUCCAUGUUUGGGCCUCGGCAGGCUGAUAGGGGAAGCUUUUCCAACUGCGAAACAGAACUACUGUGCUAUGCUCUGAAGGAAAUUCACUCUGCCCUCUUGCUGUCAUGGAGAUACCCAGCUUGAGAACUGAGGGAUCUGUGGACCUCUGCUCCUGCUUCCUCCAUCUCUCUUAAAAGAGCAGCAACCCCAUGGCAAUGUUGCUCCCAGGGUUGCCCCUUUCCCUCCAGCAGCUCAGCUCCCAGUUUCCACUAAACUCACUCAAAGAUUUUCUUCCCAUUGGUUUGUCAAACCCUUCUUAUGACCCCAUCUUAUUGUAGGCUCAUAUUUCACAGGCUAGUGAGUCCUGACUCUGUGUCCUCUCCCCCUGCCUUGUUCUCCUUUCUGUUUAGUGUCAUCUUACACUCCCCUGACUUUUCAUUUGAUACAGUUUAAUAUGGUUUUAACUGAAUAUCUUUAAGCUACACUUUAAUGUAGUGAUCACACUUUUUUUUUCUUUUUUAUCAUUUUCCUAAAUAAUUAUAAACACUUUGGGUCACAAUAAAUCUUCAAGUCCUUCCAUUUA